GGUACUACUUUACAAAUACAUCAUCACACGUACAAACUCCUUCCUCUCGUUGGCUCUACUGUGACCGACGUUCUUCGGCGAUGUUUGUUUGACUUUGACAUGAAUUAAAGAAAAUUAAUACUUUGAAUCGCUUUUGAAAGAGAGGAGGGGUAUCUCGUGCUUUUUGAGGCUUUGACAAACACAUUGUCGACAUCACAUCCAGGAAGAUUGGCUUUGGGGUUUGAGUUUCACAAAUUCCUCAGUCAAUUCACCAAGACGUCCCUGUGGAGUCAUUGAGUCUGUUUCGCUGAUUGGAGAGCUAGCUUCCGCAGCUAGUGGGUCCAUGACGAUGUCUUCUGUUUUGUUUGAUCAGCCGUUUAACUGCCACAUUACAAACACGAUUUGGAAACAAUUCAGGUACGUAAACAAACAUUUACAUGAUCGUGCUGUGUAAAUAACACAUCUCGCAACCUAUGUAAGUUAUCUGCGGCUUAUAGUCCAGUGCGGCUAAUAUAUGGCAAAUAUUUUUUUCAUUAAAAAUUUUGUGAGUGCGGAUUAUAUACUGCUCUGUACUCUCUAUAAUUAUAUGCUUUUAUUUGUAAUUGUAUUGAGUUUGUGGACCCCGGGAAAACUAGUGGGUUGUUGUGGCAACCAG